rnacentral:lncRNA from 1 species
CAGACAUGGGGUUAGUCAGGUUGCUGCUGCUGUACCCACUCCAGCAUUCCCAUGGCUUCACACAUAAAAAUUCUUUCUCACACAGGUCCAGUGGGUAUGGGCUCCGCUCCUCACAGCCUUGCAGGGACCAGGACCCUCCACCCCAGUCUCAUGAAGGCCUUAACAUCCUCGCCUGGGUCCUCUACAUCCAGCCAUUGGACAGGCGAGAAAGUGAGCCAAGAACAACUGAUUGACAUGAGAGAAGAUGGAAAUUUGAAAGUCAAUUUUGAACAAAACCUUUGCAUAAUUGGUGGAUGGCACUGAAAACUGAAAAAUGAAUGUCAAGACUUAAUGAGCGGAGCCCAAAAUGCACCCCACCCAUCUGGAUCCAGGUAUCUCUGUGAGGCCCCCUUUUCAGCUGUGACAGCCUUGAAACCUGAAUAUUAAAUAAACUGAAUUUAGUACCAUUCAAGUCACUGCUCUACAAAGUGUUAAACCAGGCUUUUCAAAAAUAAAGAAGCAUCUUCAAAGGCAUUGCUCUUGCUGUGAGAACAAAAAAAGGGAUUCUACACCAUGAU